UACCGGCGGCCCGAGUGGUGGCCACUUUUAUUGGGUCUAAAGCGUCCGUAGCCGGCUUGGCAAGUCCCCUGGGAAAUCUGGCGGCUUAACCGUCAGGCGUCCAGAGGAUACUGCCAGGCUUGGGACCGGGAGAGGUGAGAGGUACCUCAGGGGUAGGGGUGAAAUCUUGUGAUCCCUGAGGGACCACCAGUGGCGAAGGCGUCUCACUAGAACGGGUCCGACGGUCAGGGACGAAAGCUGGGGGCGCGAACCGG
rnacentral:rRNA from 1 species